rnacentral:rRNA from 1 species
CGGGUGAGUAACGCGUGAGGAAUCUGCCUCAAAGAGGGGGACAACAGUUGGAAACGACUGCUAAUACCGCAUAAGCCCACGGCUCGGCAUCGAGCAGAGGGAAAAGGAGCAAUCCGCUUUGAGAUGGCCUCGCGUCCGAUUAGCUAGUUGGUGAGGUAACGGCCCACCAAGGCGACGAUCGGUAGCCGGACUGAGAGGUUGAACGGCCACAUUGGGACUGAGACACGGCCCAG